UGUGGCAGUACAAAGCCCUCCAACUCGAGUACAAGAUCGGUGACUCGCAUCUAGAGGCUGCUGCUGAGGAUGCAGGCCAUUAUGUGCUGUCGGAGUGAGCCUACUCAUCGCCUCUCCUUAUUGAAUUCAGAAUGGGCCAUGGAGCACUCGGAGAUUGGUCGUUUGUGUUUUAGUCGAUCUCGGACAACGCCUCGUUGCGAUCUGAGGUCGUAGUUUUGUCUGGAUUGGUGUUUGGUUUUGUGCAGAAUUUUCCCGACGCAACAGUCCACAAGCUUCGAUGGCCUCAUCGAUAAGCAGAUCACUCCACUGGAAUUGACAGAAGAAGAGGAUGCGGCUAUUCGCAAGAUUGGCCUCCAAUUUGCCAAAUCUCUCCUGAAAAAAAGGACACAUGACGGUAGUCAGCAGUGGAUUAAGUUCGUUCCGUCACCUGCCGGAGGUCCCACUGGAUAGUACCAAUUCACCCCAAAUCAAACGUUCGUCCUGCACCCUCAACAGGGCAAGCCUCGUCCCUUCGUCAUCAAAUCCGUUGCUAAGUUCGACACAAAUGGUGGCCCAUAUGCAAUCCCCAGCUCCAAGUACAAUACUGACUACGAGGAGAUCGCAAUCGUUGGCAACUCGAACUCGUCGUCAUUCACAGAUUUUUUCAAGGAGACGGCAAAGUUUUGGGAGGCCGGCGCAAAUACAUCGACCGUAAACGUUCGUCCUGUUCUGUUGACGACAUCUUUGCAUCCUCUGAGCUUGCAGUCAAGGAGACUCCAGCCACCAGCCGAUUGUUUUCACUCCUUUCCUUCGAACCCCCCCACACCCAGAGUAUCCGAGUACACACUCGACUGCUGCAGGAUCCUGGGCGAAAGUGCUCGCCAGAUACUUGAGCGUCGGCAUCUCUCAACACAUUUCCUCCUAUUCUGUCGCUACUGAGGGGUAUCCGCUGCCAUUACGCACUUACAAUACGCUUGAAGCAGCUGCGGUGGAAGUUGGAGUGAGUAGAAUCUAUGGAGGAGUCCAUUUUCGAAAAGCUGUCGAAGACGGCAUAAAACUGGGAGUCGAUAUUGGCGACUACGUGUGGGAUCACUUCGAGAAAGAAUUUGGUGAUUUGUAAUCGCCAAGCUCUAUGAAUGACAUUGCCUAGUGGCGGACCCCCUAAAAGAGUAUCUUCGCUGUGCUCUUCGCUGUGCUACUAUCUUCAAGCCUUGUCAUUGUUGUUUCCAACAAUAUUACCAAUUUGAAUGCUGCAACGUCUCGGUGUCGUUGAUGUUACCCAACUUCUCACUGCAAGUGCCUGAUCGGCACCUCACCACCAGAACAUGAGGUUUGCAGUUUGCAAAGCUGGUGUCACCCGGUCUUCACAAGUGCAGAUGAAUUCGUGUUCUACGUCGACACAAGCAAGCAGUAAAAAGCGU